GACGAGGGCGCACGGGUGCGUAACGCGUAUACAAUCUACCUUUAACUGAGGGAUAGCCCAGAGAAAUUUGGAUUAAUACCUCAUAGUAUUAUAUUAAGGCAUCUUUUUAUAAUUAAAACUCCGGUGGUUAAAGAUGAGUAUGCGUCCUAUUAGCUAGUUGGUAAGGUAAAAGCUUACCAAGGCUACGAUAGGUAGGGGGCCUGAAAGGGUGAUCCCCCACACUGGUACUGAGACACGGACCAGACUCCUACGGGAGGCAGCAGUGAGGAAUAUUGCACAAUGGAGGAAACUCUGAUGCAGCCAUGCCGCGUGCAGGAUGAAUGCCCUAUGGGUUGUAAACUGCUUUUAUACAAGAAGAAACAUCGGUACGUGUACCGACUUGACGGUAUUGUAGAAAAGCACCGGCU
rnacentral:rRNA from 1 species